rnacentral:lncRNA from 1 species
GAAAAGGAAUGUGAAUCUCCCCUAAAACACAUUUGAAGGCACUGUCCCCAAGGUAGAUGAUGAUUGGGUUUUAUACCUAUUAUUUGAAUACUUUUAAGCUUAAUAAUUUGUGAGAGUUUAAGUAUGUUAUGUUAUUUGAUAUUAUUUUUAUUAUUUUUAUUUUAUUUUGUAUGAAAAAAGGAAAUUCAAUGGCAAAAUCAUAAAUAAUUUAAGUUAGAAUGCAAGGAAGGAAAUUAAUGAGCCAAUAAAAGUUUUGGAAAAGGAAUGUUGUUAUAGUAGUUUAUUAAAAUUAGGAUAUUAUGUAUGUCAAUUUAAUUAGGAUUUUAAUUCUAUUAGGGUUAGGAAAAUUAAACUCCUACAAAUAGUCUUAUUUUUGGAUUGUAGAAGGUAUUGGGAAAAAGCCAAUGAACACCAUGUACGGCUAAUUUUCUUCCAAGUUCAAGGGCAAACAAGAUAUCAUCAAAGAUGGAGGCUAUGGAUUAAUGAAUCUUGGAGAUAGAAGACUUGUGGGAGACUGUUUUUCUUCCCUAAACCUUUAUUUUUUUAUCUUUCAUUGAUGUGG